rnacentral:lncRNA from 1 species
CUGCAGCGGACAAGCCCUUACUUUGAGAAAGCCUCCAACCAUACGAUCUGGGUAGAAACUCGGCCUCGACUUGGUCCGGGGAGCUUUAGCAGGAAGACCCACCCUGCCCUUUAUCUCAAGAUCCGCCUUCUCCCGACCUCCGACAGGCGCUAGCCAGGUGGGGUCGGGACCUCCUUCCGCCCACCGAAACCAGCCGCCCGCUGGAGCGAUGAGCUUCCCCCCACCCACCUCCAGCGCUGCUCUGCGCGGGGCGGGGUCCAGCCCCCCGCGCUCCGCUUGCGAAGUGCGGAAGCCGACUUCCCUCCUCUUACACUCAAGUUUCCAAAGACGAAGACGCCCUGGCUCCCGGGAGACAAAGAGGCCCAAGGGCGACUUUUCCCAGCGGGAGGUGGCGGGGGCUUUGGAAGUGUAGUGGGUGGGUAAUUCCUCCCCGCGGCCUCCCCUCCGCCCGCAGACCACAGAGAACAAACGCCUUCUCCGAGGGCCGUCUCCUCCUCGGAAUCCGCAGCUCGACGUUUUUUUUCCCGCAGGUGGGUCACGACCCAUCAGUUACAUCCGAGGACAAGUUCAGGGUUCGCUAGUUUUGUGCAGAGACUCGUGUUGAGUAAUGCUAGCCCCAAAUUUGGAGAGGGGGGGAAAAGCACUCUUCCCACCUCCCAACGCCAGGUUCGCAAAGUCUGCACCCCAGUAACACAAGUCAGGGCAGCUUUCUAGAAAGGAAACCGUGUCCAAAGACCCCGGGGAGUAGGUGCGCUCGGGCAGCUGGAUGGGGGAGGGUGUGUAGCCGGUUGUGGGGGCUCCAAGAGACUCAGUGCGGCACCAGCCGACCCACGGCCCCUGCGGUAUCAGGAAUGCGAGACUCGCCGGUUCCGGCUCCCCGCGCCCCGGAGAGGUGAGAGGGAGCGGGUGCGCGCUGCCACCGCGAGCUCAUGUUUAUUCACGCAGCCUUAAACAGCCCGUUCGAAUACAUAUUCAUCGACCUCUCUAACUACUUGCUCAAGUCUAGGUUUGCAGGAGAACACUGAGUCCCUGAAAAGGCGGAACAGUAACUGGGGCUUGGGCUCUAGAAGCCUUGCUCUGGAGCAGAAGCAGCCUGUGCCUUUGUCCCGCAGCCGCGUCCCCAAGCGGCCCGACGUGGGGAGGUGGCUGAGAAGCGGGAUUAGGGCUAUUAGCUGAGGGCCUUAUUUAUGCCCCCAGGCUCUCGCCCAGGAGCCGGGAAGAGCUCCCAGGCUGUCCUACAGAGCCACCAGGGCAGACUUCCCAGCAAGAAACUGUGGAGCUCCCACGAUCGCUGCCGAACCUCUUCUGAAGUUCUACCGUAACUGUGAUUUCUUUUUCCUAAAUAAGUUUCAGGCAGCGCAUCAUGUGUUUUCCACUGCGG